CUUUCUCCUCUGGUUUAUUGACUUUUUGCUAUUUAUCUAUUACAGAGUCUUCUCCUGUUUAAUUGUUCUACUCUAUCUUGAUGGAUGUGGUGCUAGAAUGGUUUGGUGGUUGAAUCAUGGAGAGGCUCAUUAGGCUCAUUCACAUUGGCUUUAUGUACCUGCAAAAUCAAUUCACUUGGAGCAAAAGCAUGAAUGAGGAGCUGGAAAGGCUGCAAAAAAUCCACCCCCCUUGAUCCAAUCUGUCGUGUUUGCUUCCAAUGAAGCACAUAUCAAAGAUCAAAACCCAUCUCUCAACAAAUGGCUGUCUUCUACGAGAUGUCAUUGAUGAGGCAGAUGAUGUGCUCGAUGAGUUUGAGUACAAGCAACUUCAGAAUCAGCUGAACAUAAAGGAAAGACUUAUAAAAUUUGGAAACGUUCUCUCUAUAUUGAUGAAACUGGAGGUGGUAGUGAAGAAACUUGAUGAAGUUUCUGUAGAUGAUGGUAAAUUUUUUUACCUUACAGAAAAUACAAUGCUAGAGAAGUAGGAGCACCAACUUGAGUUGGAAAAAACACGUAAAUCAAGUUCCUUGCCUAAAAUGAUCUGAUUGGUCGAGCUAAGGAUAAGGAGUUUGUUAUGCUGUGUUUAAGGAAGCCAUCAAAUGAACAACCAACUCAUAUUACAGCCACAACGUUGUAUAGAAACAUUUCUCUUCUAUCUAUGGUCGGUCAUGGAGGUAUGGGAAAGACUAAUCUGUUGCAACAUGUCUAUGAAGAUGAAAUGACGAAGGAAUUAGAUCUUAAAAUCUGGGUUUGUGUUUCCAACAGUUUUGAUGAUAAAAAGUCAUUAAAGAUACGUUGGCAUCCUAUGAAGUGAAGAUGUCGGAUUUGGAGUCAAUACACUUCAAGAGAGUUUUAAGAUCAAGGUGAUGUUCAAAAAAAUUUUACUCAUUCUGGAUUGACAUUUGGGAGUAGGAUAAAAUCAAAUGGGAGAAUGUGUUGACAGCUCUGGCCUAUGGAAGUUUGGGAAGUAAAAUUUUGAUAACAAGUCAAAUAGACUGAUGAUAUCAAAGAAGUGUUAUCAAAUGAUUUCAAGUUUUGACCGGCACAAGAUUGUUGACAUUCCUCAUUUUCAUAUUUCUACAAAGUAAGUUCUUACAAAUUUAUUAAAGCUUUUUCACUUAUUAAUUUAGUCAAUUUUAUUUUUGUGUUUGCAGAUGGUAUAUUGUGAGGCUUUUUUCAUGCUCCAACUAUGACUUCUAGAAAGACAAUCUAAGCACUGCUCCAAUGUCAUCAUUCAUAAGACCUGACACAACUUAUUUACUAAAGUUUUCAUACUUUUUGUGAGAUUUGCUUCUUGAUACAUAGGAAUUGAAAAGAAACAAAAGGCAGAAGUGAAUUUAUUUAAAGUUCUCUUACUUUCUAGAAAUAGUCUAGUGGCAAAAGGUGUUAUGUGGUGAAUUCUUUUCAAUGGAUUUUAUCAUGUUGCCAUUUACUGUUUUGAUGAUUCAUGAAUGAAAUUCUAUGUAUAUCUUCUAGUUUUGUUGAUUUUGCUUGUUUUCAUACUAAGUGUCAUUUUGAUUCUAGGAUUACUCUAUUGGUUAGUUUUUCUGGUCUCACAAAUUUUACACUAAGUUGUAAUCCUCUUUGUGGAUGCUAGGAACUACUAAAUCAUUUAAUGUUUUAUAUUUCUAUUGGCCUUGCAAUGUGGAAGUUGUUCAUAUUUUUGCUAUAUCUAUACUACUUAAAAGUGUGACUUAUGCAUUGAGAAUCUUAAUCAUUCUUUUUUUCAAUUAAAAAAAUCUUCACCAUUUGAUUUGCACCUUUUCAAAUCCUGUUCUUAUGCUUAGCUAUUAAGUUUGCUAAUUCUUAUUCGGCUUCAUGUUGAGAAUAGUUUUGAAAGAGUUGAAGUUUCUUAGCAAGUUGUUCUUGUCGGAUCGUAGUCACAACGGGAGCUCUCCACGUGCUUCCCAUGAAGAGGAGUUUUGAAAGAGUUUUUUCUAAAAAAGCUUUACGUAUUAUUCUAGGGUUUAGGGAGUUUGCCGCGAAUUCACGAUGUUGUUUCUAUUGGAAUCGGAAGUCAUGACUGGAGUUCGCUGCGAAGCUUCUUUGCCUUCCCAUGCUCCACCCCUCUCUCCUCUAGUUAAGCAUGUUUCCGGGCCACCCGUUCAUCUGGUGCCGUCUCCUAGAGUGACGAAGGUAAUUGUUGUUGUUCAACACCACCAUUUGAACAAAGGACUGAUCAUGGAAAUCACUCUCUCAUCUAUUGCCAUUUCAUGCAUAGUUCUACCCAUCAUUUUCUUCUGGAUCAUCUGGCCAAAGAUUCAGCUGGUUCAAGGCUUCAAAGACAUCCAAAACCAUGGUAAUUGGUAAAUCUAAACCUUUUCUGAGCUUGAAUUUGUAGAAACAGUUUUUAACAAUAUGCUACAUGUAUAUUACAUUUGGUAUAGAUUAUGCUACUAAAGGACUUCCCUUGGGUCCAAUUUUUAGCAAGUUUAAUUCGUCACAGAUGAUGAAUAAGAAAGCAUUUUUUGCAAACAUCGAGUACUCAUCUUUGGAGUUGGCCACAAAAAAAUUUAUUGAGAAUAAUAUUUUGGAAGAAGGGAGAGUUGGCCAUAUUUAUCAAUCUUGCUUUGGAGUUCUUGCAGCUGUAAUGAUCUUAGAUGGCUGUGGGCAGGACUAUGACAGAAUGUUUGAUGUAAAUUCGAUCUCCAUUUUUUUAACUAUCUAUAUCAGUUGACUAUUUUACUUUUGAACUACUAAUUUAACUUGCAUUUGUAGAAUGAAUUGGAUUUUUUAGUAAGAAUCGAAAACCGAAAUAUUGUUUCGCUUUUGGGUUAUUGUAUACAUGGGGAAACAACAUUUCUUGUCUACAAGUUGCUGCAUAAUGGUUCUUUGGAAACAAAAUUGCAUGGAACUUUCUCUUUGUUGUCUUGUAAUAAAAAUAUAAACAGUAGAAUUUUUUAUCUUGAAGCAAAUUUAAUGUUUUGUAUUUCUAUUCAAGAAUAUUCUCAUGGACCAGCUUUAACUUGGCAUAAGAUUCUUUCGGAUUUGCCAUUUACAUUAUAGUAAUGAAUCACAUUUUCUAUUUCCCAAUUUAAUGCCGAAUAGAGGACUUGAAGAUCUUAAUGAGCACUGCUACCCUCCUGUGAUUCAUUGAGAUUUGAAGGCAUCAAAUACUCUUCUUGAUUUGGAUUUUAAUGCUAAGGUGCCUAAUUCUUUUACAGUGGCAUCUUACUAUGUUUACAUCAAAUUGUAAUAUGAAAAAUAUUCUUCAACUAAGUCACUAUUCUGAAACUAGAUUUCAGGUUUUGGCCUUGCAGUUAGAGGUGGCCUAAAUAAGGGUGCUACUGAACUUUCUAGGAAGCUAUACAACACUGUACCAAAAUAUAUUUUAGAUGCUAUUAAGCCUGCAAAUUCUUAUUCGACUUUGCGUGCAAAAGAGUUCUGAAAGAGUUGAAGUUUCAUAGCAAGGUAUUCUUGUUGGAUCGUAGUCACAAAUGGAACUCUCAGUGAAGAAGAGUUUUGAAAGAGUAUCCAAAGAAGCUUUACGUGUUAUUCUAGGGUUUAGGGAAUUCACAGUGAAGUCACGACGUUGUUUCUGUCGGAUCGGAAGUCAUGAUGGUAGUUUGCUGCGAAGAUUGGAAUUCAUAAUGGGAGCUCAUCGGGUGCUCACAUCAAGAAGAGUUUUGAAAUUAUUGCUAAAGAUGAUUCUUCACCUUCUUUUAUGAUGUUCUUCCUUUCAGAUUGGAAGUCACCACGAGAACUCACCUCUAAGGAAGCAAAUACCUUCCCAUGAUUGAUAAAGGAUAUGCCAACUGCAAAGAUGUGUUCCCUAUUUAUAUCCGUGAUGAUUGAACUGAUGAAGAUGCUUUCAAGUUUUUUUUUUUGUGAAUAUAACAAUUUUUCAUCCAAGUCUAAGACAAGCUGGAAAUCAGUUGCAAUUUAGAACUUGUGGACCUGUAGGAUUUUCUUAAUCACUUGUACAGUUGAGAUGGCACCUAUGAACAUGAAGGUGAUUGGAAGAACAAUGAUAGUAUUAGAUCUAUAUGCUGCCACAGAUUUCACUGGACUCUAUAAUACAAAUGUUAUUGAAGCAGCUAAAAGCAUCAUACUAUGCUACAGAAUCACUGUGCUUGUUUAUAUUUCUAUUUUAUCAAAUUUAUCUUAUAUGUAUAAUGCCCUAAGUUUGUGCAUUAUAUCAUUUUUUGAA